UGUUCUCCAGAGAGCCAUUCUAACCAAGCCCGAAAAUUCCGUCCAAAUACAUGGCGAGUGAGAAUCAAUCCCUAACCCACACAUCUCUCUAUCUCUCCUCUUACCGUUGCUAACGACUUCUGUCGCAAGAUUCCCUCUCCUCUCACUCACUCGUUUUUAGACCUAUCUCAGGUUGGAAGCUUCUGGAGAUGAAAUGCUGGAUGAGUGUGAGGCGUUGGAUUGAUUUCACUCAAUUCGAGCCCCACAUUCAUCAAGGAUUAGUCUCUAAAAGAGGCUUUAUCUAAUUUUGUGAGGGUCUCGACUAAAAAUUCAGAGAUGAGAAGUGGAAAGGAUUCUAGAAUUUAUGGUUUUCAGAGUUUGUUUCUUUCUUCUGGGUCGAGUUCAUUAAAAGUUUAAGAGAAGGAUAUAUAUUUUCUUUACGGUAUGAGUCCUGUUUUAAGCUCUAAAGAGAUGAAAAUAUGAGUUGAAGCUCGAAUUUGAUUUUCUAUUGUUGUUCUGCUGGACCUCGAUGGGAUUUGGAGUCGAGAGUUGUAUUGUAAGGUUUAUAAUUGUUAUGAAAGAAGAUUCGCAACUUCAAGUUCCAUAUUCCUCUCUUUAUUUCUAUGCGACUAUGUUUUGUUUCAGUAUUUUUUGAGCUAUGAUAUUCAAUCUAGGGCGGUUUGUUUGUGUUAUGAUCGAACUUCUUGCUGAAUAGAUCUGUUCGCAAUGGUGGUAUGUGUUCGAGUAUUUUCAGUUAGUAGAAAUUAAUCUGCGUAGUCGUCUUCCAUUUCUUAUAUGUCAUGACUGUUAUUCGGGAUCGAAGUAUGUUCUGAAUCAAGAUAUCAUCGCUUUUAAACAAACGGUGAGUUCAUCUUUGAAAAUCACGAGCGAGCAUGAAACUAUGAUGUUACUUCUCAUUAUUGCGUGCUUUACGGAAUCUAAAUGACCUGUUUCUGUGAACUCUUUUUGUAUAUCAGAUUUUGUUUUUAUAAUUAGAAUUCAAAGAAUUGUUUAGUUUUCUCUUUCCUUAGAUCUCGUAACUUUUUUGCCAUGUUCUUGCUGGUUUGGAGUUGCUGAAGCUCUCCUAGAUAGAAUGUGCUCUUCAUGGCUUAUCAAAUUGAGAUGAAAAUCAAAGUUUAUGUUUCCAGUAGCCAUUUUUGCAGGUUGAACUUCUUAAAAUAGAAUUUAAUGUGAAACUUGUUAGUACUGUGUUCUGUUGUCCUUGAAGUCAGUUUUUAUUUGCUAGACUCUCCUGAAUCGUUUGGCCUAUUGAAGCGUAAAGGAUGAGAUUCCAUUCCCUGUUUAAAUGGCUAAAUGCUUUGUUCUAAUUGAUGGAUGAGGCAUGUUGUUUUAUUUUGGUUUUGUUUUAUAAAAAUUGGAGGUGUCUAGCCCGAGCUAGCGACUGAGUCACGAGUUUGAAAUCAGGGAAAAUUUUCUUUAACUGCCAUCUUGAAAGUAUAAGUGUGCAUUUUUGAAUCCUUAUUUAUGGAUCUGUGUCGACGUGUGAAGGAGAUAAAUAAGUUGGUUUAACGAGGCGAUGAGUUUAGAGAUGGAUUGUUGGAUAAAAAUCGUGAUUGUGCUUGGGUUAACUUUGAUUGUUUGAUAGUUGUUGUGUAGAAUGAUAACAAGCUAAAUGUUAGACCCCUAACUUUGGUCCUCGGCAGGUGUGGGUUGUGACAAGGAUUUGCAUGAUGGACNNNN
rnacentral:lncRNA from 1 species